AGCCAUGAGGAGACACUUUAGACUUCAAGUCUGUAUGGUAUUAACUCACUUUCAGGACAUCAAGCCCAUUGGUUUCACCUCUUGUUUCCCAUAACAAGUUUAAGUUGUGAUGAACCACUGUUGCAUGUCACAGAGAGGAUGAAGAUUUCCUUCACUGGCUGGGACAACAGCGCCCCUGCAGAGAUGACCUCAAGUCCACAAACUGAUCUGGACCUCACGGGCCAAAGGAACCUAAGAAAUGGGGUGAAGAUGUGAACAUGUAUUUUUUUUCUCCAGUCCAAAGAGAACCAGAUUUCUCAGAUUCACUGGGCAUGGAGGCUGGCAUCAAAUGGACCUUCACAAUUGUUUGGAUAAUGGAAAAAUGAAUCACAAUUUGCUUGUUCUCACAUGCUUUGAAAGCAGACCACCCUCUUCUCCUGGGCUCUGUUCCUCUCCCACCUCUGCUGAUGAAAGCCCGGACAACUGCCAGUCAAAUGAGCCCACCAUGAAAGAAGCAGGGCCAGGAGCAAAGAGGCCAGAGAGAAGUCUUCACUUCAAAUCACAGCCCACACAAGUGAGAAAGUAUUCAAGACAAAUGUCUGUCUCUGAUGGAUUAUGUUACAGCUGUCUUCUUUCUCAGCCACCGAAUAAACACAAAAUCAG